GGCCGGGAUGUUCAUAACCCUUUGUUGUCCGACUCUGUUGCCUCCGGGGCGACCCUGCCUUCGGGCGGGGGCUCCGGGUGGACACUUCAAACUCUUGCGUAACUUUGCAGUCUGAGUAAACUUAAUUAAUAAAUUAAAACUUUUAACAACGGAUCUCUUGGUUCUGGCAUCGAUGAAGAACGCAGCGAAAUGCGAUAAGUAAUGUGAAUUGCAGAAUUCAGUGAAUCAUCGAAUCUUUGAACGCACAUUGCGCCCCCUGGUAUUCCGGGGGGCAUGCCUGUUCGAGCGUCAUUUCACCACUCAAGCCUCGCUUGGUAUUGGGCAACGCGGUCCGCCGCGUGCCUCAAAUCGUCCGGCUGGGUCUUCUGUCCCCUAAGCGUUGUGGAAACUAUUCGCUAAAGGGUGUUCGGGAGGCUACGCCGUAAAACAACCCCAUUUCUAAGGUUGACCUCGGAUCAGGUAGGGAUACCCGCUGAACUUAAGCAUAUCAAUAAGCGGACGAAAAGAAA
rnacentral:rRNA from 1 species